GGACCUGUGCGGCACAGACAGGAAGUGAUCACGGCCCGCACAGGAAGUGCCCUGUCUUUUCCACCGUGUUGGUAGUUUCCCGAGAAACAGGAAGGGACUGCGGCACGGACAGGAAGUGCCCUGUCUUGGCCGCCAUGUUUGUAGUUUCCCUGGGUACGGGAAGUUUGUAGUUUCCCGAGAAACAGGAAGGGACUGCGACACGGACAGGAAGUGCCCUGUCUUGGCCGCCAUGUUUGUAGUUUCCCCGGGUACGGGAAGUGGUCACGGCCCGCACAGGAAGUGCCCGUUCUGGGCCGCCAUGUUUGUAGUUCUCCAGGAACAGGAAGUGACUAGACCUUGGGGAAGAGCAGGCAGCGCGCUGAACCUCCAGCCCCCAGGACUUUUUUUUGAAGUACGCACAGGCACCCAGGACACUUUUCCCACCGUCGGCUUUCUGGAAAUUGACGGUUUUAGUCCCAGUGACUCGGUUUCCCUCCUCUUCCAUGUGCAGGCUGCAGAUGUCGCAACGGGAACUGUGGAGAUCCGCCCGCCUCUGCCUCCCGAGGGCCGGGAUCCAAGGCGGGCGCCACCGCCGCCGCCCGGCUCCCCGACUCUCUGGGAUCCUCGCUCUGGAACCUCUAACCUGGUGACCCCGAGGUUCCGCCAGGGAGUCUGGGGCACAGACGAGCAUGUCCCAGCCCAGCCGCCCGCCCGCCCGCCCUCACACCGGGAAGGACAAGGUCAGACAAUGCGUCCUCUUGGGGCCUGAGCCCGGCACUGUGCACUAGGGACCAGACAGCAGCGGAGACGUCUCCCCAGGUAUCAUCAUCUCCACCCCCGCAGAGACGAAUCUCAUCACCAGUCCCCACCGAGAGUGCGGAUCCAGCUGCACAGACGCCAGGACGGAAGAAAAGUUGUUUGCAUUAACAAAACGACAUCUGCCGAUGUGGGCUGAGAAACCACACGCUGGGCUCCAAGAAAAGUUCCCCUGAGACACUGUCCUGGCGCUGCCAGCUCAUAGGCGAGAGACAGCCACCAAAGUCAGGGGCUCAGGAACAGUACAAAAAAAUCACAAGCGAGCUUGAAGGUGGGCCUCCGGGAAGGCACCGCACGCCAACAGUCCCGCAUGACCACAUACCUGUGGCAAACCUGGCUGUGGUUUCUCGGCCCGUUGUCCAUCCCUGCCUCACCCAAGGCUGCCAGCCUCCCGCCAGGAGCCCCGGUAGGAAACCAGCCACUCCCAGGGACUAGUCAGAGGAGUGAGUAAGGAACGCUUUGCUCACAAGUCGUGUAGGCAGUCGGCAGGCUUGUGCAUGCGGUAGCCGGCUUUCAACAGCUUGAAAAGCUCUUCCGCUGGGAUGCCAGGGUAUGGGGAGCCCCCCAGGGUAAAGAUCUCCCAGAGCAGGACUCCAAAGGACCACCUGUUGGGGAGCAAGGGCAGAGGCCUGUUACUCCCGGUCAGUUACGGCAACAGUUCUACAGCAGGACAGGGCACCCACGGGCAAGGCGGGGUGUGCAGAGGAGAGGCAGGCACGGCAGGGCUGUGCCGUGGGCUCCGAUGAGGACACAGAACACAGCCUGGGAGGGCCGGGGCCCUAAAGGUGGCGACAGGCGUGACUGGGGUCUUGCUAUCCCCAUCCUGUGUUAGGACACAUACACAUCACUCUGGUGGGUGUAGACUCCGUCCAACAGGGACUCUGGUGCCAUCCACUUCACAGGGAGCCGGCCCUAGGCAGAGGGAGAGUUGUUGGCCGUCAGGGGUCCCCCGGCGGAGCGCCGCACCCCCACCACCCCGGAACGGGGCUCACGUGCGUGAUCUUCUUGUAGUAUCCCAGACGGUGCACAUCACGGGCCAGGCCAAAAUCUGCAACCUUCAUCACGCUGUCCUCAGUCACCAACACGUUUCUGGCAGCCAAGUCUCUGUGAACGCACUGAGGAGGCGUGAAAGGAACCUGGCUACGCUGACACCUCCCUCGCCUAAGCAGGCUGGACACCCACUCUUCCACGCUGACAGACCCUACCCGGCCUGGGCCCCAGCUCUGCUCACCUUCCGAGAAGCCAGGUGCUCCAUACCUCGGGCCACCUGACAGGCACAGGACACGAGAUCUUUGCGGCAUUUUCACAGCCACGGUGACGGGCUCGGCAGUGUUGUCCAGGUGAAGGCCAACAGCCUCUGCCUUAAAAACCUGGCCAAAGCAGCCUUCUCCUAGAGAAUGACCGAGUGUCAGCCUGUCCGAAGAAGCAGAGGCCGCCAGAAGAGGGCGCCAGACCCCAUUACAGAUGGCUGUGAGCCACCAUGUGGUUGCUGGGA